rnacentral:rRNA from 1 species
AGGUUUCCUGAUCAACGCUAAUCGGAUCAGGGUCAGUCGGGUCCUAAGGCUCAGCCGAACGGCGAUGCCGAUGGCAGAAACGGUUAAUAUUCCGUUACUACCUUCAGGAGUGACGUGGAGACGCAGUAGUGACAGUGCCGCCAUCUGACGGAAUAGAUGGUUGAAGGGUGUAGGAGUCGAUCAUGGCAGGCAAAUCCACCAUGAGAUCCGAACCUGACAGUAUGCCGCGUCCUUCGGGACAAGGCAAUAGUGCGCGUAAGCAUGCUGCCGAGAAAAUCCGCUAAACUUAAUCCUGCAGGUACCCGUACCGCAAACGGACACACGUAGUCGGGUUGAAUAUACUAAGGCGCUUGAGUGAUUCACGGUUAAGGAACUAGGCAAACUGACCCUGUAACUUCGGGAUAAAGGGUCCCUACCCUUUUAUGGGAGGGCGCAGAGAAUCGGUCCAGGCAACUGUUUAACAAAAACACAGGGCUGUGCCAAAUCGAAAGAUCCAGUAUACAGCCUGACACCUGCCCGGUGCUGGAAGGUUAAGAGGAGAUGUCAUCGAUAAGAGAAGCGUUGAAUUGAAGCCCCAGUAAACGGCGGCCGUAACUAUAACGGUCCUAAGGUAGCGAAAUUCCUUGUCGGGUAAGUUCCGACCUGCACGAAUGGUGUAAUGAUCUGGACACUGUCUCAACCGUGAGCUCAGUGAAAUUGUAGUAUCGGUGAAGAUGCCGAUUACCCGCGAUGGGACGAAAAGACCCCGUGAACCUUUACUAUAGCUUAUCAUUGAAUUUGGGCACGUGAUGUGUAGGAUAGGUCGGAGGCUUUGAAGCAGGUACGCCAGUAUUUGUGGAGCCGCUGUUGAAAUACGACCCUUUAUUUGUUUGGAUUCUAACCCGUGGAUACGGGGACAUUGAUUGGUGGGUAGUUUGACUGGGGUGGUCGCCUCCAAAAGCGUAACGGAGGCUUCUAAAGGUGCCCUCCGGCCGAUUGGUAACCGGCCUUAGAGUGUAAUGGCAUAAGGGCGCUUGACUGGGAGACUAACAAGUCGAUCAGGUAGGAAACUAGAGCAUAGUGAUCCGGUGUUUCCGUAUGGAAGGGACAUCGC